GAAAAUGGCAAUGUUGUGGCUUGCGUGUUGCUUUCAAGAUGGCUGCUGGCAUUCAUCGAGAAGCGACAGUAAUUGCGAAUUCCCUGAAUAAUGGACCAUUGUCCUGUAGGAUAAACAGCCUGCUUAAGUCGGGACUUCCUUCAUUGCUGUCCAAAUUCAUUUUGUCACAUGGAGAACUUCAGAACAAUUAAAGACUCAGGUGAAGUCGGGACUUUCCCUGUUGCAGUUUGUUACAUGCAGAUGCAGAACUUCAAAACAAUAGUAAAUGUGUCAAUCAAGUCUCUAGCUAAUUUUCAAAAAAAAUUUACAAUGGACCUGGUGAAGUCUGAGCUUCUUCAUUGCAUCCAAUGUGAACACGGAUUUGUUGCUGCCAGCUGGUGAUAGGUGUUCCUCAUGCCGGCUUGCUACCUGUACCAGUACCAGUUGUAGCUUACAUCACAUGCAGAAAAAGAGAACUUAAAGUUUAUGUUCCCAUAGUUGCUGCUGUCCACUGUGGCAUUCUGUUGCAGCCUUUGCUGGUGAAAGAUUAUUUGGUAUCAAGUUUACCUGCGGCUGUUCCUUGGUGCCUGGAUCGUGUACGGAAGUUGCAGCCAGUAUUUUGUUAGAUUUUUUUUAUGUUUGCAGUUUACCAUUUACAUGUUAAGAAGGACAAAACAACAACAAAAAUAUGGGGAGAUUUUAGGUCCAGCAAAUAAUAAACAGCUCUUUGCGUUGUGAAAGCAACGAGAAUAAGGUGGGGGGGGGGAAUAGAUAUUAUUAUUAUAAAAGUAGUUGAUGGUUAUUAUUCAUUUAUAGUCGGCUGAUGCAUGAAAUAGGGAUUUGAUAUAACCUAUUAAUCCAACACUUACAUACAAAUAAAUUGUUUACCAAUCCCAUUUCCAUAACACCUGAAAACUCAAAACCAUUUAUAUGCCCUAACCCUGUAUUUUGAGAGUUUGCACUAUAAAACAUUUGAUUACAGUAAAACGAAAUAUAUUUCUUUCAGUAUAUAUAUUAAUAAACUA
rnacentral:lncRNA from 1 species